rnacentral:tRNA from 2 species
GCUAUAGCCAAGCGGUAAGGCAACGGACUUUGACUCCGUCACUCGUAGGUUCGAAUCCUGCUAGC